AUUGAACGCUGGCGGCAGGCCUAACACAUGCAAGUCGAGCGGAUGAAGGGAGCUUGCUCCUGGAUUCAGCGGCGGACGGGUGAGUAAUGCCUAGGAAUCUGCCUGGUAGUGGGGGAUAACGUCCGGAAACGGGCGCUAAUACCGCAUACGUCCUGAGGGAGAAAGUGGGGGAUCUUCGGACCUCACGCUAUCAGAUGAGCCUAGGUCGGAUUAGCUAGUUGGUGGGGUAAAGGCCUACCAAGGCGACGAUCCGUAACUGGUCUGAGAGGAUGAUCAGUCACACUGGAACUGAGACACGGUCCAGACUCCUACGGGAGGCAGCAGUGGGGAAUAUUGGACAAUGGGCGAAAGCCUGAUCCAGCCAUGCCGCGUGUGUGAAGAAGGUCUUCGGAUUGUAAAGCACUUUAAGUUGGGAGGAAGGGCAGUAAGUUAAUACCUUGCUGUCUUGACGUUACCAACAGAAUAAGAACCGGCUAACUUCGUG
rnacentral:rRNA from 1 species